rnacentral:rRNA from 1 species
UACGGGGGGGGCAAGCGUUGUUCGGAAUUACUGGGCGUAAAGGGCGCGUAGGCAGCCUACUAAGUCGGACGUGAAAUCCCUCGGCUCAACCGGGGAACUGCGUCCGAUACUGGUGGGCUUGAAUCCGGGAGAGGGAUGUGGAAUUCCAGGUGUAGCGGUGAAAUGCGUAGAUAUCUGGAGGAACACCGGUGGCGAAGGCGGCAUCCUGGACCGGUAUUGACGCUGAUGCGCGAAAGCCAGGGGAGCAAACGGG